UGGACCUGAACACACAGCUAAGUGUUCACUAGCGUGUGCAAAACCAAGAACCUGAACGUCUUAGAAUGGUCCUGUGAAGGUGCAGAUAUUCAAAAUCCGGGUGCAUGCAGAUCACCCAGAGGGACUCCAAAGAGCAGGAAAGCCUAUGAAUGGUCACCACGGCAACCCAGCACCGAGCAACACGGCUGUCAUUACGAGGGAAGCACACGCUGUGGGGAAGGCAGGCGAGCCUGAGUGGCCUGUGCUAUGCCGGCUAUGGGUUCGAGAGGACGGGCCAGCGGCACCUGAGCCACGUAGAUCUGAGGAACAGGGACUGGCAUGACGGCUCAGAGACCAAGUGCAGAACUUCGGCCUUGCAGGUGAAAUGGAUGAUAAUUAGGAGCCACAAUACUGUGUUUUAAUCAACUCACCUCCCAACACAAGGCUGGAGAUCAAUGAAAUUCUGUAAGAAAUUAAACCAGCGAUUUAUUAAAAACUAAGAUAGAU